rnacentral:rRNA from 2 species
GGAUGCGAUCAUACCAGCACUAAAGCACCGGAUCCUAUCAGAACUCCGAAGUUAAGCGUGCUUGGGCGAGAGUAGUACUAGGAUGGGUGACCUCCUGGGAAGUCCUCGUGUUGCAUUCC